rnacentral:snoRNA from 1 species
UUUGGAUUAAUGAUGUCAAAUAAUACACGCUGUCUGUCUGCUCUUUCUUGGAAAGAUUUGAUGACAAUUUCGUGAUUCUGAAAUCCAAA